CCGAAUGGGGAAACCCAGUGUGAUUCGUCACACUAUCAUUAACUGAAUCCAUAGGUUAAUGAGGCGAACCGGGGGAACUGAAACAUCUAAGUACCCCGAGGAAAAGAAAUCAACCGAGAUUCCCCCAGUAGCGGCGAGCGAACGGGGAGGAGCCCAGAGCCUGAAUCAGCAUGUGUGUUAGUGGAAGCGUCUGGAAAGGCGCGCGAUACAGGGUGACAGCCCCGUACACAAAAGCGCAUGUGCUGUGAGCUCGAUGAGUAGGGCGGGACACGUGGUAUCCUGUCUGAAUAUGGGGGGACCAUCCUCCAAGGCUAAAUACUCCUGACUGACCGAUAGUGAACCAGUACCGUGAGGGAAAGGCGAAAAGAACCCCGGCGAGGGGAGUGAAAAAGAACCUGAAACCGUGUACGUACAAGCAGUGGGAGCNNGUGACUGCGUACCUUUUGUAUAAUGGGUCAGCGACUUAUAUUCUGUAGCAAGGUUAACCGUAUAGGGGAGCCGGAGGGAAACCGAGUCUUAAUUGGGCGUUAAGUUGCAGGGUAUAGACCCGAAACCCGGUGAUCUAGCCAUGGGCAGGUUGAAGGUUGGGUAACACUAACUGGAGGACCGAACCGACUAAUGUUGAAAAAUUAGCGGAUGACCUGUGGCUGGGGGUGAAAGGCCAAUCAAACCGGGAGAUAGCUGGUUCUCCCCGAAAGCUAUUUAGGUAGCGCCUCGUGAAUUCAUCUCCGGGGGUAGAGCACUGUUUCGGCUAGGGGGCCAUCCCGGCUUACCAACCCGAUGCAAACUGCGAAUACCGGAGAAUGUUAUCACGGGAGACACACGGCGGGUGCUAACGUCCGUCGUGAAGAGGGAAACAACCCAGACCGCCAGCUAAGGUCCCAAAGUCAUGGUUAAGUGGGAAACGAUGUGGGAAGGCCCAGACAGCCAGGAUGUUGGCUUAGAAGCAGCCAUCAUUUAAAGAAAGCGUAAUAGCUCACUGGUCGAGUCGGCCUGCGCGGAAGAUGUAACGGGGCUAAACCAUGCACCGAAGCUGCGGCAGCGAACGUAUCACCCAAGACAACUUUACGGAGUUGACGAUUGACGGAGCGAAGCGACGUCAAAGCGUUCAUUAAAGUCGAGUUGGCUUAGGGAUACGUUCGUUGGGUAGGGGAGCGUUCUGUAAGCCUGUGAAGGUGUGUCGUGAGGCAUCUUGUGGGUAUAAGAAGCGCGCACGCUGACAUAAGUAACGUUAAAGCGGGUGAAAAGCCGGCCCGCCGGAAGA
rnacentral:rRNA from 1 species